rnacentral:rRNA from 1 species
AAUGGGUCAGCGACUUAUAUUCUGUAGCAAGGUUAACCGAAUAGGGGAGCCGAAGGGAAACCGAGUCUUAACUGGGCGUUAAGUUGCAGGGUAUAGACCCGAAACCCGGUGAUCUAGCCAUGGGCAGGUUGAAGGUUGGGUAACACUAACUGGAGGACCGAACCGACUAAUGUUGAAAAAUUAGCGGAUGACUUGUGGCUGGGGGUGAAAGGCCAAUCAAACCGGGAGAUAGCUGGUUCUCCCCGAAAGCUAUUUAGGUAGCGCCUCGUGAAUUCAUCUCCGGGGGUAGAGCACUGUUUCGGCAAGGGGGUCAUCCCGACUUACCAACCCGAUGCAAACUGCGAAUACCGGAGAAUGUUAUCACGGGAGACACACGGCGGGUGCUAACGUCCGUCGUGAAGAGGGAAACAACCCAGACCGCCAGCUAAGGUCCCAAAGUCAUGGUUAAGUGGGAAACGAUGUGGGAAGGCCCAGACAGCCAGGAUGUUGGCUUAGAAGCAGCCAUCAUUUAAAGAAAGCGUAAUAGCUCACUGGUCGAGUCGGCCUGCGCGGAAGAUGUAACGGGGCUAAACCAUGCACCGAAGCUGCGGCAGCGACGCUUAUGCGUUGUUGGGUAGGGGAGCGUUCUGUAAGCCUGUGAAGGUGUGCUGUGAGGCAUGCUGGAGGUAUCAGAAGUGCGAAUGCUGACAUAAGUAACGAU